rfam:Chlorocebus sabaeus isolate 1994-021 chromosome 1, whole genome shotgun sequence.
UUUCCCUCAGGAUAGCUGGCACUCUCGCAAACCCAAUCUCCCACGCAGUUUUACCCAAUAAAGUGAAUGAUUAGAGGUCUUGGGGCCAAAAUGAUCUCAACCUAUUCUCAAACUUUAAAUAGGUAAGAAGCCCGGCUUGCUGGCAUGGUGAUUUUGUAAAAUAGAGAAAAUUUGAAAGAGUGCUU